AAUUUUACUCUACGAAGAAGUAUCAUGUUGACAAUUUGAACGUUAUUAGUUCCUGGAUAAAUUAAUUCUUGAACUUGUUUUAUUGAAUUCUUAUAUCAUUGUCAUCAUCCUCGUGUUUAUAUUUUAUUGAAAGUCAUAUGUGGCCUGUAGUGCAUAGAUGGACUUGGUAUGAUUAUGACCAGGGAUUAUUCGGUAUAAUCAUGACCGUAAUGUUACAAAUGAUGUGGUAAAAGUCCUC
rnacentral:lncRNA from 1 species